ACUCUUGCCCAGGUAGUCAUGGUUCCUAAUGCGGGGCUCUGCUCUGCCACUCAGUGGAUGCCCUUGACCCCUCCCCCCGCCGUGGCUUUUCCCAGAGCCCAUCCUCACACCUGCCUGAGCCCCUUUUCCGAGGGCACCUGUUUCCUGCCAGGACCUGGGCUGUGGUCCAUGAUCCCUCACUUCCUAUUGCGCAUUUGGAUGUGCUGUUGAGGGUCCUACGCCUACUCUUAACUUCUGCCUACAAUCAAACCCAAAGGUUAAAAGCUUUGAACUUUUCCUACUCUCAAAAUUGUACCAGCUAUUCAUAUAUUCGUCAGCCCAGUUUUUGGCAAAGGUGAUUUAAAUUUGCUGUUUAAAAGAGAAGCCCUUGCAACGGUGAUCUAGGUUGUGUCAUCGCUUCUGCGUAACAGCAAGGCAAAGCUGCGGAUUUAUCGCCGUUCUACCCAGGUUUCCUGUUGAUUACGGCAGGGUUUGAGGUGCGGUCCCUGGUGUUUCAUCAUGACAAGUGGAGGUUUGCAGGAGAACUUCAUAACCAUCUGCAGAAAAGGUGAAGUCACAUCUUGAGACCAGCUCUAGAUAUGUUACCGAUGGGCUAAUGGUUUUGAUGUAAAAUAAGUAAAAACAUUAAAGGGCUAGAAGAAGCCAGAGGAAAAGUCAUUUAGAGGGUUGUAGUGUGAAAGUCUUUCUAACUGCAACACAAAAUCCUGAAGCUACAAAUUAAUAGAUUAUAUUAAUAGAUUAUAAAUUAACCUAAAUAAUGAUAUUGACAAAUACCUAAGAUAAGAAUUCUCCAUGGAAAUGCCCAUCAUGGAAAACAACAAGUGGGGGAAAUGUUGAAAUCCUGUCAGAGAGAAAGAGCUAAUUCAGGAUAUGGAUGGAAUUAACAAAACAUCAUCAAUAAGACUUUUUUUUUUUGAGUCAGAAUCUCACUCCAUCGCC